UACGAAGGGGGCUAGCGUUGCUCGGAAUCACUGGGCGUAAAGGGUGCGUAGGCGGGUCUUUUAAGUCAGGGGUGAAAGCCCGGGGCUCAACCUCGGAACUGCCUUCGAUACUGGCUAUCUUGAGUACGGGAGAGGUGUGUGGAACUCCGAGUGUAGAGGUGAAAUUCGUAGAUAUUCGGAAGAACACCAGUGGCGAAGGCGACACACUGGCCCGUUACUGACGCUGAGGCACGAAGGCCAGGGGAGCGAAACGGG
rnacentral:rRNA from 1 species